UCCUGCUCCAGGUGAAUGGUUCAGCUGCCAUCCCGUGCUCACGGCGGUGCUGCUGCUGCUGCUCCUGGUGCUGGUGCUGGCUUUGGGGGUGGCCUUGGCUGUGCAGUCAGGGAUUACAGGAGCUGGGAGCAGGCUCAGGAGCGGUGCUCCGAGCUCGGGGCCUCCCUGGCCAUUCUCAAGGAUGAGGCCAUGGAUUUGCUCUUCCGCCUCCGCGGGAACGUCGAUUACUGGAUCGGGCUGCGCAGACGGGGCGAGCGCCUGCACUGGGGGGACGGCAGCAGCUACAGCUCCUGGGUUCCUGUCUUUGGAAAUUCUGAGUGUGUGUACCUGGCUGAGGAUAGACUUAAGAGUGAGAACUGCUCAAUCGAGCAGCCGUAUGUCUGCAGCAAGGCCCAAGCUGCCCUGUGACAGGGCUGCAGAAAGGACCUUGUCCCUGCUGGGCAGUGCCAGCUUCAGCUCUGAGCCCAGCACAGAGCUGAAGCUGGCACUGCCCAGCGGGGACAAGGUUCGUCAGCUGCAACCUGUGUUAAUAUGAAAACCAAUAACUUUAUUUUAAUUUAUAACAUCUUUUAAUUAUCUGUAUUGGGAAAUCCAAAUUGCCCUGGGCUCUUGAAAAUCAUCACAAAUUGGCCUGCACAUGACACUUCUGGACUGUCUUUGGAAGAGGAAGAAGAGCAGCUGACAGUGCUGAGGAGGAAUCCCACUUUCGCCAUCAGGCACCUG
rnacentral:lncRNA from 1 species